UUAGAAGGUAUUUACUUUCAAAUCAAGAUUAUAUUCGUUAUUUUACUGCAUCAACAAACACCCACCGCUCUUCUCCUCUCUUUUUUUCUCCCAACAUACUUCAUUAGUUCAUUUCUUCCCUAGCACCGACGAGACCCCUCGCAUUCCCGGUUGUCUUCCUUGCCAUCAUUGAUGGUCCACAGAGAACCAACCUCUUCAUAACUUUCAAUUCACACACAACUUUUUAGAAGAAACCCAACAAAAUCGGCCCAAUUUCAUCCAUCAAAACCCUAACUCAAAAUUAGCCAAAUGAUCUACGAUAUAUACAAAGUUCUGUCUCUACUCCACUUAUUUCUACAAUUCUAAGGUUUUUGCUCUUGUUUCCAAGCUACGUAAUUAAUGAUAAAUUAGUAGAAAGAGGUGUAUACGGUCAAAAUCGGGCCUACCCGAUUUUGUUGUUUGAUCGAGACAAGGGAGUUGCAUCGAGGGUAGCCUCGUAAUAAAUCAGACCCGAGCUCGAAGAUGAGACAUCAAAGUGUACGUUGAGACCGAGACCAGCAAGAAUCGAGACCAAGUAUGACCGACUUCGAGGGGAGCAUAAUAACAGAAUGGCGAGAUAUCCGUAAUCGGUCGAAGAUCACGGCGAAAAUCUCGGAACAGAUCAAAUCAAGAGCGGUUAUUGGUACCAAUCAUGGGAUUUAUUUCUGUUAUUAGAAUUGUACCAUAAUUAGGAAUCCUCUAGUAUAUAAGGGGGAGUCCCCAUCAUUUGUAAAUAUAUUACAUUCACGAAUAUCAAGGCAAUAUAAUAUCUCUUAGUUCGGUUCAUCAA